ACAAAAAGCAAAACAUUUUUUCUAUGGUUUGUAAUUUUCGUAUCGUGUCUGAUGUUGGAACGGUUCAAUCAAAUCAAAUCUCCUAUGAAUUGGGUCUUUUAAUUUGAUUGAGCCGUGCCAAUAUCGACCAUUGUCGUAAACUUUUCUUAUUACUUAGAAACCAUAUAUUUUUGUUCUUACUAUUCUUACAUUUAAUCUUUCAUUUUCUCCUUCAACAUAGCUUAGAAACAAUAUCUUUAGCUUUUGUUAUUAUUACAUAUAAUCUUUUGUUUUCUCCUUUAUAACAUGGCUUAGAGAUGAGGCUCUUUUCUAUAUGGGGAUCCCAAGAGUGGAUAAGAUGAGAUGAACAAGGACAGACUCCAUGUUGUACCCUUUUGCUUUGCUAUGGCCUCUAGAUCAGAUGUCUGUGGUUUUAUUAAAAUAGCAAAACAAAACAACAUUUGACAGAAGCUGACGUUCUUCCAAAAUCAGCAGCUAUGAACGUCCUGAAGAGACCGUUGAGUGUAUAAAACACGAAGCUGAGAAGAAGCUACCAAAACUCAGGCUCUGAAAACUGUGUGUUUUCUUUUCUACAGAAGUACUAAGAAGGAAGAAUUUACUGUCCUUUGUUAAUAGAAACAAAUGUACAAUGUGAAAGAAGGAAAGUGCAGAAGAAGAAGACAAUUACUCCCAGCCAAACCAUCAUCAUUGUUAUUUCUUUUCCUGUCAUAAAGGACAAGAGAAAAGGCCGGCUUUCUUCUAAUUCAAAUAGAUUGUAUUGGUGGGUUUAUUCACUCUCACAAAUUCUAUAUGUAAUAGCCAAAAUAAUAUUCCCACACUUUCAUAAGCAGUACUUCUACGUUCUACUUUCA